rnacentral:rRNA from 1 species
GACGAACGCUGGCGGCGUGCUUAACACAUGCAAGUCGAGCGGAAAGGCCCUUUCGGGGGUACUCGAGCGGCGAACGGGUGAGUAACAAGUGAGUAAUCUGCCCUUGGCUUUGUGAUAACCACCGGAAACGGUGGCUAAUACCGGAUAUGACGCGCCCCGGCAUCGGGGUGUGUGGCAAGUUUUUUCGGCCAGGGAUGUGCGCGCGGCCUAUCAGCUUGUUGGUGGGGUAAUGGCCUACCAAGGCUUCGACGGGUAGCCGGCCUGAGAGGGUGACCGGCCACACUGGGACUGAGACACGGCCCAGACUCCUACGGGAGGCAGCAGUGGGGAAUAUUGGACAAUGGGCGGGAGCCUGAUCCAGCAACGCCGCGUGAGGGAUGACGGCCUUCGGGUUGUAAACCUCUUUCAGUACCGACGAAGCGCCGAUGAUGGUGGUGACGGUAGGUACAGAAGAAGCACCGGCCAACUACGUGCCAGCAGCCGCAGUAA